AUACGGAGGGGGCUAGCGUUGUUCGGAAUUACUGGGCGUAAAGCGCGCGUAGGCGGGUUGGCAAGUUGAAGGUGAAAUCCCAGGGCUCAACCCUGGAACUGCCUCCAAAACUGCCAGUCUUGAGUUCGGAAGAGGUGAGUGGAAUUCCUAGUGUAGGGGUGAAAUUCGUAGAUAUUAGGAAGAACACCAGUGGCGAAGGCGACUCACUGGUCCGAUACUGACGCUGAGGUGCGAAAGCGUGGGGAGCAAACAGGAUUAGAAACCCCAGUAGUCC
rnacentral:rRNA from 1 species